CCUUUUGUAUAAUGGGUCAGCGACUUAUAUUCUGUAGCAAGGUUAACCGAAUAGGGGAGCCGAAGGGAAACCGAGUCUUAACUGGGCGUUAAGUUGCAGGGUAUAGACCCGAAACCCGGUGAUCUAGCCAUGGGCAGGUUGAAGGUUGGGUAACACUAACUGGAGGACCGAACCGACUAAUGUUGAAAAAUUAGCGGAUGACUUGUGGCUGGGGGUGAAAGGCCAAUCAAACCGGGAGAUAGCUGGUUCUCCCCGAAAGCUAUUUAGGUAGCGCCUCGUGAACUCAUCUCCGGGGGUAGAGCACUGUUUCGGCAAGGGGGUCAUCCCGACUUACCAACCCGAUGCAAACUGCGAAUACCGGAGAAUGUUAUCACGGGAGACACACGGCGGGUGCUAACGUCCGUCGUGAAGAGGGAAACAACCCAGACCGCCAGCUAAGGUCCCAAAGUCAUGGUUAAGUGGGAAACGAUGUGGGAAGGCCCAGACAGCCAGGAUGUUGGCUUAGAAGCAGCCAUCAUUUAAAGAAAGCGUAAUAGCUCACUGGUCGAGUCGGCCUGCGCGGAAGAUGUAACGGGGCUAAACCAUGCACCGAAGCUGCGGCAGCGACGCUGAUGCGUUGUUGGGUA
rnacentral:rRNA from 1 species